GGAAGUAAAAGUCGUAACAAGGUUUCCGUAGGUGAACCUGCGGAAGGAUCAUUAAUGAAUUCACUAUGGAGUUGUUGCUGGCCUCUAGGGGCAUGUGCACGCUUCACUAGUCUUUCAACCACCUGUGAACUUUUGAUAGAUCUGUGAAGUCGUCCUUCAAGUCGUCAGACUUGGUUUGCUGGGAUUUAAACGUCUCGGUGUGACAACGCAGUCUAUUUACUUAACACACCCCAAAUGUAUGUCUACGAAUGUCAUUUAAUGGGCCUUGUGCCUAUAAACCAUAAUACAACUUUCAACAACGGAUCUCUAGGCUCUCGCAUCGAUGAAGAACGCAGCGAAAUGCGAUAAGUAAUGUGAAUUGCAGAAUUCAGUGAAUCAUCGAAUCUUUGAACGCACCUUGCGCCCCUUGGUAUUCCGAGGGGCAUGCCUGUUUGAGUGUCAUUAAAUUCUCAAACUCACAUUUAUUUGUGAUGUUUGGAUUGUUGGGGGUUGCUGGCUGUAACAAGUCGGCUCCUCUUAAAUGCAUUAGCAGGGCUUCUCAUUGCCUCUGCGCAUGAUGUGAUAAUUAUCACUCAUCAAUAGCACGCAUGAAUAGAGUCCAGCUCUCUAAUCGUCCGCAAGGACAUUUUGACAAUUUGACCUCAAAUCAGGUAGGACUACCCGCUGAACUUAAGCAUAUCAAUAAGCGGAGGA
rnacentral:rRNA from 1 species